CAUCGUUCCGGUCGGUAGAUGUUUAUCAGGAGCUUGCAAAGUAAUCCUUUUUACCUCAGAAAUGGCGUAUUCAAUUCCCCCUUAAUUCAUCGUAGUGUAAUUGGCCCUGCUGUUUAGUCUUUACGAAAAAUUGCUAUCACGCGACUCUACUACAGUUGGCGCUUAAGAUUUCCAUCGAUUAUUAUCGCUUCGUUGGUCAAGUUAUUAUAAACCCCGGGCUUCUGCAAGAGUGCUUUUGGUACGAGUUUGUCUUUUUGAGUUCCUGUUGUGACGGUAAAGUUUCACGCAUGAUAAAGCUGCUCUCUUAAGAACAGGUCACAACUUGCUGGAGGAACCAGAAUUCAAGAAAAUGUCACGCAGACAAGGGGCAGAUUUGAGAACUUUCAGUGUUUGGCUGAUAUUUCUAGGUUUCCAAGAUUUCGACAAGAUAGAUGUUAGUCGCUUCUACUCCUUUCAUUUCUAAAUUAUCCAUCCUGGGAUAUUCUGCAUUCGUAAACCUACCAUUUGACUGUGUAUUGUAAUUUUUUUUAUUAACCAAGAUGUAUACAAGAUCAUUGUAAACUAAUAUUAAUUUAAUUUCUAAAUUUUACAUGCUGCCCGUUUCAUUAAAAUCCUGAUAUGUUUGUAAGUUAGGUUCCUGGGAUAUUCUGCGUUCGUAAACCUGCCAUUUGACCGUGUAUUGUAAUUUUUAUUUAAUAAAUAAUUGAUCUA